AUUACUUUAAGCAAAGUUUGAGGAAGCUGAAAAAUAUAGCGCAGCUUUCCUCGCAUAUACAGUCAACUAGAGGAAUGAAAAUUUUUAUUUUGGAAUUGAAGAUUUUUGGUUUAGGGUUAUUUCUAUAACUAAAACUUGUUAAUAGAUUUGGUGGGAUACAAAAUAAUAUAAUAUUUGAAUCCCAAAAUACGCCACGCUUUGGACGCGAUUUUGGAAUAUCUUCUGGUGCUAUCGUCUUAACGGUCUCAGUUGGUGUAUCAUAUGAAAGCGCUUCUCUAUUAUAUUCGUCCGAGAGCUGUGUAUAACCUGUGUUGAUGACAACUGCGGCGAAGAGUAAACACACCAAAAACAAUUUAUGAGAUGCCA